rnacentral:pre_miRNA from 1 species
CAGUCGUUGAUUUCUGGUGUAGCAUCAUCAAGAUUCACAAGCAAAGGCAUAUAUGGUGGUGGUGGUGUGUGUGCGUGUACAUAUAUAUAUAUAUAUAUAUAUAUCAUGUCUAUCCCUUCUCUCUCUCUAUAUAUAUAUAUAUAUAUUUCUCUCUCUACACCAGAGGCUUAUGGUGAUGAGAAUCUUGAUGAUGCUGCAUCGGCAAUAAAUGACUU